ACCGCCUCCUGUUCUUCUACACAUAGGAGGUCCCGCCUGCCCUGUGAUUAUUAAUUUAACGGCCGCGGUAUUUUGACCGUGCGAAGGUAGCGCAAUCACUUGUCUUUUAAAUGAGGACCUGUAUGAAUGGCAUAACGAGGGCUUAACUGUCUCCCCCACCUAGUCAAUGAAAUUGAUCUCCCCGUGCAGAGGCGGGGAUAGUCACAUAAGACGAGAAGACCCUGUGGAGCUUUAGACAAUAAACGGACCCCGUAAAGAGUACCUAAGCAAUAGGCUAAAACAAAAAGAUACACCGUUUUGCUGUCUUUGGUUGGGGCGACCAAGGGAUAAAAAAUAACCCCCAUGUGGAAUCUGAAAACAAUUCUUUCAGUGAAGAACGUCGGUUCGACACAACAGAAUGUCUGACCUAAAAUGACCCGGCAAUUAAGGCCGAUCAACGGAACCAGUUACCCCAGGGAUAACAGCGCAAUCCUCUCCCAGAGCCCAUAUCGACGAGAGGGUUUACGACCUCGAUGUUGGAUCAGGACAUCCUAAUGGUGCAGCCGCUAUUAAGGGUUCGUUUGUUCAACGAUUAAAGUCCUACGUGAU
rnacentral:rRNA from 1 species